GAACCGUACAAACGUUUAUUCGGAAUCAUUGGGCUUAAAGGGUGCGUAGGCGGUGUAGUAAGUUGGGUGUGAAAUCCCUCGGCUCAACCGAGGAACUGCGCCCAAUACUGCUACACUCGAGGGGAGACAGAGGUAUGCGGAACUGAUGGUGGAGCGGUGAAAUGUGUUGACAUCAUCAGGAACACCAGUGGCGAAGGCGGCAUACUGGGUUCUCUUCUGACGCUGAGGCACGAAAGCUAGGGGUAGCGAACGGGAUUAGAUACCCCGGUAGUCCUAGCUGUAAACGAUGAGCACUGGAUCGGAGACUCCUCCCAUAGGUUUACCGAUCGUAGCGAAAGUGUUAAGUGCUCCGCCUGGGUAGUAUGGUCGCAGGCUAG
rnacentral:rRNA from 1 species